UGGACAGGAAACGACGGAGACGCGCAGCGUGUCUCCCUCCUCAGCAGGGAGAGAAGAAUGGGAGAGGGACCGGGAUUGUGUGUGUAGACGAGGCGACGACGGGUGAAAACAUGAGGAUAACGGGCUGUUUUUAACUAGAUAUAUCUUCUAAAAUCAUAAUUAAACCCAUCAUAUCAGGAGUCUCCUCAUUCCUCCCCCCGAGGGCAGGGAUAUCUGCUCUCCCAUUGGAGAACACAGGAAAGGAGCCUCUUUGUGAAUCCCGUCUGACUAGGAGAACAGCCCUGUCGCAGAGUGGAGUCUGAACUUUAACCCCAGUAGGAAGGAGAGAAAGCCACUUCAGAGGGCCGGUUCGGAGCUGGAGCUUGAAAAGCACCGGGUUUUCCUGUUCACACCGCAGCGGAGCAGCCUCUUAGCUCCGGAAUCCGGUUCGUUUCAAGCAACAAAAAAUUGUCCGGCUAG